AGACUUCCUAACAGGGAAGACACCAUGACCAGGCAGGUGGUUUUCCUAGGAGGAAGCUCAUCCCUUGCACUCCAGGUGUGCUGAUCCCUGCGAUUUCCCCAAAUGCGGGAACCUUAACUGCAUAAUUUGUGGUAGUGGGGGCCUGACUGUGUUUCUUUUCUUU
rfam:Eurypyga helias contig59801, whole genome shotgun sequence.